rnacentral:rRNA from 1 species
UGGGGAAUAUUGCACAAUGGGCGCAAGCCUGAUGCAGCCAUGCCGCGUGUAUGAAGAAGGCCUUCGGGUUGUAAAGUACUUUCAGCGAGGAGGAAGGCGUUGUGGUUAAUAACCGCAACGAUUGACGUUACUCGCAGAAGAAGCACCGGCUAACUCCGUGCCAGCAGCCGCGGUAAUACGGAGGGUGCAAGCGUUAAUCGGAAUUACUGGGCGUAAAGCGCACGCAGGCGGUCUGUCAAGUCGGAUGUGAAAUCCCCGGGCUCAACCUGGGAACUGCAUCCGAAACUGGCAGGCCAGAGUCUUGUAGAGGGGGGUAGAAUUCCAGGUGUAGCGGUGAAAUGCGUAGAGAUCUGGAGGAAUACCGGUGGCGAAGGUGGCCCCCUGGACAAAGACUGACGCUCAGGUGCGAAAGCGUGGGGAGCAAACA